rnacentral:misc_RNA from 1 species
AAGUCGUAACAAGGUUUCCGUAGGUGAACCUGCGGAAGGAUCAUUAACGAGUUGAACGGGGUUGUAGCUGGCCUUCACAGGCAUGUGCACACCUCACUCAUCCACUCUACACCUGUGCACUUACUGUGGGUUUCGAGAGGCCGCGCUUGCGUGGUUGAUCGGGCUCACGUCUAUUACAAACUCUUCAGUAUCAGAAUGUGUAUCGCGAUGUAACGCAUCUAUAUACAACUUUCAGCAACGGAUCUCUUGGCUCUC